rnacentral:rRNA from 1 species
CCUACGGGUGGCAGCAGUGGGGAAUAUUGGGCAAUGGUCGAAAGCCUGACCCAGCAACGCCGCGUGAAGGAAGAAGGCUUUCGGGUUGUAAACUUCUUUUGUCAGGGAAGAGUAGAAGACGGUACCUGACGAAUAAGCCACGGCUAACUACGUGCCAGCAGCCUCGGUAAUAAGUAGGUGGCAAGCGUUGUCCGGAUUUACUGGGUGUAAAGGGCGUGUAGCCGGGUUGACAAGUCAGAUGUGAAAUCCUGCGUCUUAACCGGAGAACUGCAUUUGAAACUGUUGAUCUUGAGUACUGGAGAGGCAGACGGAAUUCCUAGUGUAGCGGUGAAAUGCGUAGAUAUUAGGAGGAACACCAGUGGCGAAGGCGGUCUGCUGGACAGCAACUGACGGUGAGGCGCGAAAGCGUGGGGAGCAAACAGGAUUAGAUACCCGAGUAGUC